rnacentral:lncRNA from 1 species
CCGAAAGUCCCUCCAGAGCCGAAAGUCAGGUAGGUUCGGCGGCACCUUCGGCGGCCGAAAGUGCCCUCCAGAGACGAAAGUCCAUUUUCGGGGGCAGGCUUCGGCAGCCGAAAGGCUUGCCUCACAGGCAGGUUCGGCGGCCGAAAGUCCUUCGGCUGCCGAACCUGGUUUCUGCCAAAAGGGCAGAAACUCGGCUCAAA